rnacentral:ncRNA from 2 species
UAUGCUAUACUUGAAAUGCUGUGUAAUUUGAAUCCAUGCAGCCCUUGACGCUUAGCUUCUUUCGUCAAGCAUAGUAGAAGCGGUUUGGCCGCUAAAGGAGAAUCUCUUAUG